CCUUCGGGGUGGACGCUCGUGGAACGAGCGGCGGACGGGUGAGUAACACGUGGGCAACCUACCUGUGAGACGGGGAUAACUCCGGGAAACCGGGGCUAAUACCGGAUAACGCAUCGAACCGCAUGGUUCGAUGAUCAAAGAUGGCUUCUCGCUAUCACUCACAGAUGGGCCCGCGGCGCAUUAGUUAGUUGGUGAGGUAACGGCUCACCAAGGCGACGAUGCGUAGCCGACCUGAGAGGGUGAUCGGCCACACUGGGACUGAGACACGGCCCAGACUCCUACGGGAGGCAGCAGUAGGGAAUCAUCCGCAAUGGACGCAAGUCUGACGGUGCAACGCCGCGUGAGCGAUGAAGGUCUUCGGAUCGUAAAGCUCUGUUGUGAGGGAAGAACAAGUGCCGUUCGAAUAGGGCGGCACCUUGACGGUACCUCACCAGAAAGCCCCGGCUAACUACGUGCCAGCAGCCGCGGUAAUACGUAGGGGGCAAGCGUUGUCCGGAAUUAUUGGGCGUAAAGCGCGCGCAGGCGGUUCCUUAAGUCUGAUGUGAAAGGCCACAG
rnacentral:rRNA from 1 species